UUUCGAUAUGAAAUCAGAUCUCCACACUCGUCCCAGGUGAGCAAUUACGACGCCAUGAGCUAGGCAUUUGGAUGUAGUUCAAAGAGCUGAGAGCAAGCUUCGAAAACCCAGGGAAGGCCAUCCGUGGGUCCCAAGAGAUGGCCCGACUCCUCCCGGACUUGCACAAAGCUGAUGGGAGCCUGGUGGGAAACCCAGGAGCCCAGGACUUCUCUUUUUCCCGAAACAGCAGGGGUGAGCGCGUGACCUCUGGGAUGAGCUGACUGGAGCAGAGGAAGACGCACCUCCAGGGGCUCAUCAGGACCCUCGGAUUCAGCUCCCUGCAGGAGCCACGUGACUCGGGUGGCCCAGUGCAAAAUGAAAAUGUGGAUCCUCUUGUUCAGAAGUUGGGGAAAGUAAAUGCAAUAAAAUGUAAACCCUUCCCCUUUA